AUUGAACGCUGGCGGCAUGCCUUACACAUGCAAGUCGAACGGCAGCACGGGUGCUUGCACCUGGUGGCGAGUGGCGAACGGGUGAGUAAUACAUCGGAACGUACCUUAUCGUGGGGGAUAACGCAGCGAAAGCUGUGCUAAUACCGCAUACGCCCUGAGGGGGAAAGCGGGGGAUCGCAAGACCUCGCGCGAUUAGAGCGGCCGAUGCCUGAUUAGCUAGUUGGUGGGGUAAAAGCCCACCAAGGCGACGAUCAGUAGCUGGUCUGAGAGGACGAUCAGCCACACUGGGACUGGGACACGCCCCAGACUCCUACGGGAGGCAGCGGUGGGGAAUUUUGGACAAUGGGGGCAACCCUGAUCCAGCAAUGCCGCGUGAGUGAAGACGGCCUUCGGGUUGUAAAGCUCUUUUGUCAGGGAAGAAACACCGGCUCUAACACAGUCCGGGAAUGACGGUACCUGAAGAAUAAGCACCGGCUAACUACGUGCCAGCAGCCGCCGUAA
rnacentral:rRNA from 1 species